GAUGAACGCUGGCGGCGUGCCUAAUACAUGCAAGUCGAGCGAACGGACGAGAAGCUUGCUUCUCUGAUGUUAGCGGCGGACGGGUGAGUAACACGUGGAUAACCUACCUAUAAGACUGGGAUAACUUCGGGAAACCGGAGCUAAUACCGGAUAAUAUUUUGAACCGCAUGGUUCAAAAGUGAAAGACGGUCUUGCUGUCACUUAUAGAUGGAUCCGCGCUGCAUUAGCCAGUUGGUAAGGUAACGGCUUACCAAGGCAACGAUGCAUAGCCGACCUGAGAGGGUGAUCGGCCACACUGGAACUGAGACACGGUCCAGACUCCUACGGGAGGCAGCAGUAGGGAAUCUUCCGCAAUGGGCGAAAGCCUGACGGAGCAACGCCGCGUGAGUGAUGAAGGUCUUCGGAUCGUAAAACUCUGUUAUUAGGGAAGAACAUAUGUGUAAGUAACUGUGCACAUCUUGACGGUACCUAGUCAGAAAGCCACGGCUAACUACGUG
rnacentral:rRNA from 1 species